UUCAAACCCUUCGUUUGAACAUUGAUCAUACAAAUAGCARUACCUAUGACUAUAGCCGUUAGUUGAUAUUUCAACAUCAAGCAGUGCACACCAGUCAUUUUCUAAAACCACGAAUCUGCAGAGACACUUGAAGAAUUUCAUAAUGAAUCGCCUAAUGAURCUGGUAUUUGCAGCCGUAUUCCUCGCUCUGGCUUCUGCAGAUGAAGAUGUCGACAUAGCAAAGAGGGGUAUUCCGUGCCUGUGUGUAAGUGACGGCCCAAGUACGAGAGGCAAUAAAUUGUCAGGAACAAUCUGGAUGAAAACCGGUGGCUAUGGUGGCAACGGCUGCCCUAAAGGUUGGCAUUUUUGCGGGAAAAGCCGUGGUUUGCUCUCCGAUUGCUGCAAGCAGUGAUUUUCUGUACUGAUCCAUUCUUAUAAAACUAAGAUUUCAGGUCAAUCAAUUGUAAUGUUAGAUUAGUGGGAAAAUAACAAUGAAAUAAAAACUCCAAUAAAACGUGGAGCAUUAAACUGGAA